UCCUCCCUCUUUCUUCGUGCUUAACACAUGCAAGUCGAACGGAAAGGCCCUGCUUGCAGGGUACUCGAGUGGCGAACGGGUGAGUAACACGUGGGUGAUCUGCCCUGCACUUCGGGAUAAGCCUGGGAAACUGGGUCUAAUACCGGAUAGGAGCCAUUUUUAGUGUUAUGGUUGGAAAGUUUUUUCGGUGUAGGAUGAGCUCGCGGCCUAUCAGCUUGUUGGUGGGGUAAUGGCCUACCAAGGCGGCGACGGGUAGCCGGCCUGAGAGGGUGGACGGCCACAUUGGGACUGAGAUACGGCCCAGACUCCUACGGGAGGCAGCAGUGGGGAAUAUUGCACAAUGGGCGCAAGCCUGAUGCAGCGACGCCGCGUGGGGGAUGACGGCCUUCGGGUUGUAAACUCCUUUCGCUAGGGACGAAGCUUUUUGUGACGGUACCUAGAUAAGAAGCACCGGCUAACUACGUG
rnacentral:rRNA from 1 species